rnacentral:rRNA from 1 species
UGCAGUCGAGCGGUAACAGAUCCAGCUUGCUGGAUGCUGACGAGCGGCGGACGGGUGAGUAAUGCAUAGGAAUCUGCCCGAUAGUGGGGGAUAACCUGGGGAAACCCAGGCUAAUACCGCAUACGUCCUACGGGAGAAAGGGGGCUCCGGCUCCCGCUAUGGGAUGAGCCUAUGUCGGAUUAGCUAGUUGGUGAGGUAACGGCUCACCAAGGCCACGAUCCGUAGCUGGUCUGAGAGGAUGAUCAGCCACAUCGGGACUGAGACACGGCCCGAACUCCUACGGGAGGCAGCAGUGGGGAAUAUUGGACAAUGGGGGAAACCCUGAUCCAGCCAUGCCGCGUGUGUGAAGAAGGCCCUCGGGUUGUAAAGCACUUUCAGCGAGGAAGAACGCCUAGCGGUUAAUACCCGCUAGGAAAGACAUCACUCGCAGAAGAAGCACCGGCUAACUCCGUGCCAGCAGCCGCGGUAAUACGGAGGGUGCAAGCGUUAAUCGGAAUUACUGGGCGUAAAGCGCGCGUAGGUGGCUUGAUAAGCCGGUUGUGAAAGCCCCGGGCUCAACCUGGGAACGGCAUCCGGAACUGUCAAGCUAGAGUGCAGGAGAGGAAGGUAGAAUUCCCGGUGUAGCGGUGAAAUGCGUAGAGAUCGGGAGGAAUACCAGUGGCGAAGGCGGCCUUCUGGACUGACACUGACACUGAGGUGCGAAAGCGUGGGUAGCAAACAGGAUUAGAUACCCUGGUAGUCCACGCCGUAAACGAUGUCGACCAGCCGUUGGGUGCCUAGCGCACUUUGUGGCGAAGUUAACGCGAUAAGUCGACCGCCUGGGGAGUACGGCCGCAAGGUUAAAACUCAAAUGAAUUGACGGGGGCCCGCACAAGCGGUGGAGCAUGUGGUUUAAUUCGAUGCAACGCGAGAACCUUACCUACUC